GCAGCAGCCGCGGGAAUACAGAGGGUGCGAGCGUUAAUCGGAUUUACUGGGCGUAAAGCGUGCGUAGGCGGCUAAUUGAGUCGGAUGUGAAAUCCCCGAGCUUAACUUGGGAAUUGCAUUCGAUACUGGUUAGCUAGAGUGUGGGAGAGGAUGGUAGAAUUCCAGGUGUAGCGGUGAAAUGCGUAGAGAUCUGGAGGAAUACCGAUGGCGAAGGCAGCCAUCUGGCCUAACACUGACGCUGAGGUACGAAAGCAUGGGGAGCAAACAGGAUUAGAGACCCCUGUAGUCCCUGUCUCUUAUAC
rnacentral:rRNA from 1 species